rnacentral:ncRNA from 1 species
GUAGAGUAGGUAUUGUGCGUUAAGUGUCACUGGAUGGAAUGUUGAAGGUGAACGAAAGGUGCAGGGUCACGAUCUGGUCUGAUGAAAAAGCACCUGCGUUACAAUACCGCGUUCGCUA